rnacentral:rRNA from 1 species
GACGAACCGUGCGAACGUUAUUCGGAUUCAUUGGGCUUAAAGAGCACGUAGGCGGCGACAUAAGUCGGGGGUGAAAUACUAUCGGCUCAACCGUAGAAUUGCCUUCGAUACUGUGUCGCUCGAGGAAGAUAGGGGCGAGUGGAACUUCCGGUGGAGCGGUGAAAUGUGUUGAGAUCGGAAGGAACGCCAGUGGCGAAAGCGACUCGCUGGGUCUUAUCUGACGCUGAGGUGCGAAAGCUAGGGGAGCAAACGGG